UUAGCCGAAACCAAAUAGAGGUGAAUCACUGUUAAUGAUUUUAUUGAGCAAUCCGGUUGUU
rnacentral:tRNA from 1 species